rnacentral:rRNA from 1 species
CGUAGGGUGCGAGCGUUAAUCGGAAUUACUGGGCGUAAAGCGUGCGCAGGCGGUUUUGUAAGACAGAUGUGAAAUCCUCGGGCUCAACCUGGGACCUGCAUUUGUGACUGCAAGGCUAGAGUACGGUAGAGGGGGAUGGAAUUCCGCGUGUAGCAGUGAAAUGCGUAGAUAUGCGGAGGAACACCGAUGGCGAAGGCAACCCCCUGGACCUGUACUGACGCUCAUGCACGAAAGCGUGGGGAGCAAACAGGAUUAGAUACCCUGGUAGUCCACGCCCUAAACGAUGUCAACUGGUUGUUGGGUCUUUACUGACUCAGUAACGAAGCUAACGCGUGAAGUUGACCGCCUGGGGAGUACGGCCGCAAGGUUG